UUUGGGCCUUCUAGCGACACAUCACACACGAACGACACAUCGAGCGGUUCGAGCCAGGCAAACAGCGACGCAGCCACUCCCGCAGACCGGCAUACGCACGCAGCAAGCAGCGAACCCUAGCAUGACGGCGGCGGCGGCGGCCAGGAGUAGGCGGAGUGGCGGACGACGGGGCGGCGGGUCGGCGGCUGUGGCGUCGAGCACUCAUCGGGCAAGCGUGAGGCGUGGCUGGGCUCUGCCGAGACAGGGACGCAGGCAGGCGGCGAGCGGCAUCUGCGGACGGGCCUAGCGGACGGUGCGGCAGCACAGCGCGGCGGCAGCCAGCUGCCCAGCUUCACGUCCUUCUCGUCUUGGCCUGCAGAAGAUGGAGAGUAAGGGGAAGGGGCGAAACGGGAGAGGAGCGUAGGGAUCUGCCGUUGCCUGGAUCUUCUAGACGGCAUUGAAACCUUCAUUAUCGGUAUAUUUUAGGUUGUUUUUUCAAUUGAAACAUGUCUACAUUUUCAUUGUAUUUAGUUAUUAGUUUGUGGUGUGCAAUGUUAGUGUGUAUUGACUCUUUUGGUUUGCGUAAAAAUAAUCUUUGCUUAAGACUUCGUCACACCUUAAAUUUUUUUCGUCCUCCGCCUCUGUAUGUAUGUAGACAAUUCGUCAAUGUUUGUUGCCCACAAAAUAAUCCAGAAUUUUUCAAAUUUUUACA